rnacentral:rRNA from 1 species
UACGAAGGGGGCUGGCGUUGCUCGGAAUCACUGGGCGUAAAGCGCACGUAGGCGGCUUUCUAAGUCAGGGGGGAAAUCCUGGAGCUCAACUCCAGAACUGCCUUUGAUACUGGGGAUCUCGAGUCCGGAAGAGGUGAGUGGAACUCCGAGUGUAGAGGUGAAAUUCGUAGAUAUUGGGAGGAACACCAGUGGCGAAGGCGGCUCACUGGACCGGUACUGACGCUGAUGCGCGAAAGCGUGGGGAGCAAACGGG